rnacentral:tRNA from 1 species
GGGGUCUUAGUUUAACCAGGUAGAACUUUCGCCUCCAGAGCGAAUAAUAGGGGUUCAAAUCCCCUAGACCCCA